GCAGACACAUUUCAGCCAAUCAGCAGCAGACCCUCCCUCCCAGACCCUACCACCUCCUGGACAGCAUCCAUUUUGAAGCUGCAUUCUUAGUGAGCUGUCCAGGAGGUGGGAGGGUCUGGGAGGGAGGGUCUGCUGCUGAUUGGCUGGAAUGUGUUU
rnacentral:miRNA from 1 species